GUAGUGUAUGCUUCUCCUAAAGACUAAGCCAUGCAUGUCUCCGAAUAGAAGAGCAAGUCUCUCUGAAUCUGCGAACGGCUCCGCAUACCAGUUGUAAACCAUAGCAAGCAAACCGGGCGGUCGUUUCACGACGCAUCGCUCGGUUCAUAAGGAUACCCAUGGUAAUUCUGAGGCUAAUACAAGAACGUACAACCCACUCGACCCGUUAGGGGAGGGAGGGGAAUGUGUGACUAAGGCACGCAAAUAUCGUACUGGGAGUGGCCACACGUUCAGACCACCAUACCAAACGGUCGUUCGCUUCCGAAAGCCUCCGGGCGAGUAGUGGCGGGCUUCAGGGUGGCUCUUGCUGUGUGCUUCUGACCUAUCAACUAGAUGGCAGCGUAACGGACAUGCUAUGGUGACAACGGGUACAGAGGAUAAGGGUUCGAUCCUGGAGAGUGGGCCUGAGAGAUUGCUCACACUUCUAAGGAAGGCAGCAGGCGCGCAACGUUCCCAUUGGGCAAAGCUCGAGGGCGUUAGGGGACAUAUGAAUGCCUGCCUUAUGGUGGGCAAUUCAAAUGGGACUGUUCUAAACAUCCUAUCGAGUAAC
rnacentral:rRNA from 1 species